AGUUCUCAGCAACGGAUAUCUUGACUUUCGCAUCGAUGAAUAACGUAGCGAAAUGUGAUACUUGGUGUGAAUUACAGAAUCUUGUGAACCAUCAAGUUUUUGAACGUAAGUUGCAUCCUAGGCUGUCGAGCUGAGGGCAUGUCUGCCUGGAUGUCA